ensembl:lncRNA
UGCAUCCAUGGAUAGGACAGUAACAUUACAGUACAAAUAUCUUAUUUUGAAAUGUUUGUCAAAUGUAUUUGUUAAUAUGUAACAAUACUAUAUUGUCACAAAUUAAACAUACACCUGUAAACAAUCUCUGUAUCUUUCCUAUGCCUAUUUCCUAAUAACUAUGAAUUAAAAUACAUCCAUUGAUGCUUUGUAUGUAUGGCAAAUGAAGGACUCAAAUGCAGCACAGAUAGACCACUAAACUGGAGCAACACUAACACAGACUCUAUUAAAGACCUGGAAACAUGUAGGUCUAUCAGUUACAGGCCAGAGAAGCAAACAUGUAGGUCUAUCAGUUACAGGCCAGAGAAGCAAACAUGUAGGCCUAUCAGUUACAGGCCAG